AGCUACAGAUUCUGCUAAUUCUCUUGGGAUUCAUCAGGGAAGACAAUGAAGGAUCGCUGAGCCUUGACAAACGGUUUUGAGGAAGAUGCAAGUGGCAUGACACAAUAUUUUUAGUCCCAUUGAUUUGCCACCAAAAUUAGAAGAACAUAUUUACUUGAUAGGCCUCCUUAUUAGAGAUGUGGACAUAUUUUGCAAUUAAGCUUGAAAAAAAAACCUAUUGGAUAUUUUACUGCCAGUGAAUUCAAGGUUUUCUCCAGUGCAGUGUAUGUCUGAGAGAAAUAUUCUUCUUUAUGCCACUCUUGGAAUGACCACGUACCAUCACCUGAUCCCUUGAUCAGUUCAGGGAUCCUGCCGCUUAGAUGUUGCCUAUGAGGAAAAACAGGGAUCUGCUGAACCUGAAGUCCAAUCUGCCUGAGACACAACUGAAAAUGUCUGCAUAAAACAGAGUUCCUGUCCAGAGAAGUCAUUUUCCAAAAUGGAAAAGUUGUAUUAAAUCCCCCCCCCAAAAUAACAUUGUUCACAUUUCUAAGCCCGAGGUUUGUCAUUUGUUCCUAUAACUUUACCGCAAAGCAAUUUGCUUUCUUCAAGGGAAACAUUGCACAGAUAGAAAAAGAAGGUAAAUGUUUAUGUGUUAAACAUAUUUAUUAUAAUUACUGUUUUAAUCUCUCUCUCUCUCUAAGGGACUGCAGGAGUUACCAGGAAAGGUAACCAAUCCUGAAACCAUGCAUUUCAGGUUUUCAGGAUAAGAAUGCCCAUCUUGAACUAAGCACAGAAAAGAACAGAAACCCAAAAGGAACCAGUUUUCUGCCUUGUUGCCUCCGGAUCAAAGU